rnacentral:rRNA from 1 species
AGAGUUUGAUCAUGGCUCAGAACGAACGCUGGCGGCGUGCCUAACACAUGCAAGUCGAACGAGAAAGGGGCUUCGGCCCUGAGUAAAGUGGCGCACGGGUGAGUAACACGUAGGUAACCUGCCUCUAAGAUUGGGAUAACUCGUCGAAAGAUGGGCUAAUACCAAAUAAGACCACAGUUUUUUCGGAAGCAGAGGUCAAAGGUAGCCUCUAUUUAUAAGCUAUCGCUUAGAGAUGGGCCUGCGCACCAUUAGCUAGUUGGUAGGGUAACGGCCUACCAAGGCAAAGAUGGUUAGCUGGUCUGAGAGGAUGAACGGCCACACUGGAACUGAGACACGGUCCAGACUCCUACGGGAGGCAGCAGUGGGGAAUAUUGCACAAUGGGGGAAACCCUGAUGCAGCAACGCCGCGUGGAGGACGAAGGCCUUCGGGUUGUAAACUCCUGUCUUUUGGGACGAAUAAAUGACGGUACCAAAGGAGGAAGCCACGGCUAACUACGUGCCAGCAGCCGCGGUAAUACGUAGGUGGCAAGCGUUGUCCGGAAUUAUUGGGCGUAAAGGGCGCGUAGGCGGCUUUUUAAGUCAGAUGUGAAAACCCCGAGCUUAACUUGGGAACUGCAUCUGAUACUGGGAGGCUAGAGUGCAGGAGAGGUAAGUGGAAUUCCUAGUGUAGCGGUGAAAUGCGUAGAUAUUAGGAGGAACACCAGUGGCGAAGGCGACUUACUGGACUGUAACUGACGCUGAGGCGCGAAAGCGUGGGGAGCAAACAGGAUUAGAUACCCUGGUAGUCCACGCUGUAAACGAUGGAUACUAGGUGUGGGAGGUAUCGACCCCUUCCGUGCCGCAGUAAACGCAAUAAGUAUCCCGCCUGGGGAGUACGGCCGCAAGGUUGAAACUCAAAUGAAUUGACGG